GCNCUANCGNUNUGGGNCACUNCCUCUAAANACAUGCAAGUCGAACGAUGAAGCCCUUCGGGGUGGAUUAGUGGCGAACGGGUGAGUAACACGUGGGCAAUCUGCCCUUCACUCUGGGACAAGCCCUGGAAACGGGGUCUAAUACCGGAUAANACUCCUGCCUGCAUGGGCGGGGGUUGAAAGCUCCGGCGGUGAAGGAUGAGCCCGCGGCCUAUCAGCUUGUUGGUGGGGUAAUGGCCCACCAAGGCGACGACGGGUAGCCGGCCUGAGAGGGCGACCGGCCACACUGGGACUGAGACACGGCCCAGACUCCUACGGGAGGCAGCAGUGGGGAAUAUUGCACAAUGGGCGAAAGCCUGAUGCAGCGACGCCGCGUGAGGGAUGACGGCCUUCGGGUUGUAAACCUCUUUCAGCAGGGAAGAAGCGAAAGUGACGGUACCUGCAGAAGAAGCGCCGGCUAACUACGUGCCAGCAGCCGCGGUAAUACGUAGGGCGCAAGCGUUGUCCGGAAUUAUUGGGCGUAAAGAGCUCGUAGGCGGCUUGUCACGUCGGAUGUGAAAGCCCGAGGCUUAACCUCGGGUCUGCAUUCGAUACGGGCUAGCUAGAGUGUGGUAGGGGAGAUCGGAAUUCCUGGUGUAGCGGUGAAAUGCGCAGAUAUCAGGAGGAACACCGGUGGCGAAGGCGGAUCUCUGGGCCAUUACUGACGCUGAGGAGCGAAAGCGUGGGGAGCGAACAGGAUUAGAUACCCUGGUAGUCCACGCCGUAAACGUUGGGAACUAGGUGUUGGCGACAUUCCACGUCGUCGGUGCCGCAGCUAACGCAUNANUUCCCCCCUGGGGAGUCNGNCGCAGGCUAAACUCAANGAUUGACGGGGGCCNCNCAACNGCGGAACAUUGGCUUAUUCGACGCACCGANAACUACNAGGNUGANUUACCGAANCUAAAANNUGCCCCUGNGNCGNUCAGNGGGCUGCUNCCACNUNUCGGAAUUGGUAACCCCCNNCCNCNUUCUGUNCNAUCCUNGGGAGGA
rnacentral:rRNA from 1 species